AGAGGCAAUUACUGCAGUCGGUUCCUUCAUUCUGAAAGCGAACGAGCUGCUCCAAGUUAUAGACAGCAGCAUGAAAAACUUCAAAGCUUUCUUCCGUUGGCUUUAUGUAGCCAUGCUACGGAUGUCCGAGGACCCUGUUCCCCCUGAACUGAACAAGAUGACUCAGAAAGACAUUACUUUUGUAGCUGAUUUUCUCACGGAGCACUUCAAUGAAGUAAGGAUUUUAUUUUUUA